CCUACGGGAGGCAGCAGUGAGGAAUAUUGGUCAAUGGACGAGAGUCUGAACCAGCCAAGUAGCGUGAAGGAUGACUGCCCUAUGGGUUGUAAACUUCUUUUAUAUGGGAAUCAAACGUUCCACGUGUGGGAUUUUGUAUGUACCAUAUGAAUAAGGAUCGGCUAACUCCGUGCCAGCCGCCGCGGUAAUACGGAGGAUCCGAGCGUUAUCCGGAUUUGUUGGGUUUAAAGGGAUCGUAGGUGGAUUGUUAAGUCAGUUGUGAAAGUUUGCGGAUCAACCGUAAAAUUGCAGUUGACACUGGCAGUCUUGAGUACAGUAGAGGUGGGCGGAAGUUGUGGUGUAGCGGUGAAAUGCUUAGAUAUCACGAAGAACUCCGAUUGCGAAGGCAGUUCACUGGACUGCAACUGACACUGAGGCUCGAAAGUGUGGGUAUCAAACAGGAUUAGAUACCCGGGUAGUC
rnacentral:rRNA from 1 species